rnacentral:rRNA from 1 species
GACGAACGCUGGCGGCGUGCUUAACACAUGCAAGUCGAACGGAAAGGCCCUGCUUUUGUGGGGUGCUCGAGUGGCGAACGGGUGAGUAACACGUGAGUAACCUGCCCUUGACUUUGGGAUAACUUCAGGAAACUGGGGCUAAUACCGGAUAGGAGCUCCUGCUGCAUGGUGGGGGUUGGAAAGUUUCGGCGGUUGGGGAUGGACUCGCGGCUUAUCAGCUUGUUGGUGGGGUAGUGGCUUACCAAGGCUUUGACGGGUAGCCGGCCUGAGAGGGUGACCGGCCACAUUGGGACUGAGAUACGGCCCAGACUCCUACGGGAGGCAGCAGUGGGGAAUAUUGCACAAUGGGCGGAAGCCUGAUGCAGCAACGCCGCGUGCGGGAUGACGGCCUUCGGGGUGUAAACCGCUUUCGCGUGUGACGAAGCGUGAGUGACGGUAAUGGGUAAAGAAGCACCGGCUAACUACGUG